UACGUAGGUGGCAAGCGUUGUCCGGAUUUACUGGGCGUAAAGCGAACGCAGGCGGACCUUUAAGUCGGAAGUGAAAGGUUGGAGCUCAACUCUAACACUGCUCCCUAUACUGGAGGUCUUGAGUGCCGGAGAGGAAGACGGAACUGCAGGUGUAGCGGUGAAAUGCGUUGAUAUCUGCAGGAACACCAAUGGCGAAAGCAGUCUUCUGGACGGAUACUGACGCUCAGGUUCGAAAGCCAAGGUAGCAAACAGG
rnacentral:rRNA from 1 species